UACGGAGGGUGCAAGCGUUAUUCGGAAUUAUUGGGCGUAAAGCGCGCGUAGGCGGUUUCGUAAGUCUGGUGUGAAAGCCCUCGACUCAAUCGAGGAAGUGCAUCGGAUACUGCGAGACUAGAGUACAGGAGGGGAGAACGGAAUUCCUGGUGUAGAGGUGAAAUUCGUAGAUAUCAGGAGGAACAACGGUGGCGAAGGCGGCCACCUGGACUGAUACUGACGCUGAGGUGCGAAAGCGUGGGGAGCAAACAGG
rnacentral:rRNA from 1 species